CUCUCUUUUGUGCCCCUCCUUUCUAGCCUUUGCUAGUGGCUAGCCUUCCUCCUCCCUUCGGCCUCCGUCGAUCGGUAAAAUCUCCUCAACAAUGCGGCGAUGGUGCACCAAACUUCGAUUACUGGCCCUCCAUUACUCCAUUACUCUACCCAGAAACCAACCCAGCUCUCUGUCAUCAUCAUUAUGAUCAUCAUCAUCAUCAUCUUCUCAUCGUUUCCUUCACUCUUCUCCUCAGCUUCUUCACAACCCCCUUUAUUAUCCUUGAUUUUUUUUUCAAAUUUUAAGUCCCUUUUCAGUGCCUUUUUAGCGUCACAUCAUCCUUUUUGCUCAAUCAGUUCUCUCGCCUCUGCUUCCCCACAUCUCUUGGCAGUGGGAGGAUGAGGGCUAGCUGCUGGCGGUGGUAGCCGGCGAAGAGGUGAAAGAAAAGAGGGUGGGUUUGUGUAUAAAAUUGUGGAUUUGUAUCUUUCUUUUGAAAUUUAAAUUUUAGGUUAAAAUGUAAUUUUUUUUUGACUUUUUCCAUUUAAAUUUGACGGUACAGGCAAAUUGAUAUGAUUUUAAAAAAUUUGAAAGUAAAAUUAAAAUUAUUCAAAGUUUGGAGAUAUUAUAAUUGAUCAUCGAGACAAAAAUAAAAUUUUCUUGUAGAUUAUGGUACCUUUUUUAGUGCUGUAACCAAGAGGGAAAAAGAAAAAAAAAAAA